UUUUUUAAUAAUUGUGUUGUUUAAAGUUUGUAUCAUUUUAUUUACGUAAUAUAUGCCACUUCAGCACUUAGUUGUGCGGCAAUUGCGAAUAAUUUCUUUUGUUAUUGUAAUAAAAACUAUUGUUAUAAGUAAGUGGAGAGCCACAUGAUGACUUCAAUUAUUUAAUAUUUCAAUGAAAUCAACAUUACAUGUAAAAGUUUUAGUUUACAAAGUUGUGGCUUAAUCAUGUAUUUGUUUUGCUGCAAGAUAACUUCUAGCAGUAGAUGUUUGUGACAGAAUCUGUAACAACAAACAUUUAUCACAGUUUAAAAACUUGUGUUAAUAGUAUUUUUCUUUAGCCUGUUUUAUUCCUCUCCUAGACAAAGUUUUCUGAAUUUCAUCAAAAUACAUGUUUGUAUUUUGAAAUUUUAAUUAAAAAAUGCCACCAACAAAUUUAUUAUGUUGCAAUAAAAUAUUGUUGACUGUGUACUCAAGCACUGCGAAUGAAAUAUCAUUGAAAAAUCAUGCGAAGUGGAUUGUCUUAAACAUAAUAUUCAUAGACAAGUUUGUAAAACCACUUAGCUUUACAUUGUUCUGAGUUUUAGAAACAAAAGUUUACAAAAUGAAUAAUAUGUUUAUGAAUUUAUGCAAACAAAGAAAACAGUGCUGUUAUGAGUAGGGCACUUGAAAUGUGGUUGUGACUUUAAGACCAACUUUUCUUAUGCUAUUCGUUUAUGAACAUCUUGAACGCAGACUUCUCAUGUUUUAUAUGGUUUCAAUACUCAUUAAAAAACUAAAGAGAUCUGGAGCCUCAAAAUUGUGAUGAAUUUAUAUGAACAGUUUAUUUUGUAAUGGAAAUAUAACUUGGGAAGCUGCUAACUGAUAUUUUUAAAAUAUUUAUUUAAUUAUGAUAUACAUUUUUGUUUAUUAAACUGUUUUAUAAUAGGGCUCUAAUAAUUACUUCAAUGGUGGUACUGAUACUGCUAAAAUGUUAUAAAAGUUAUUCUCAAUUUUAGACAAUUCUUAAAACUAUAGCGCUAUUCCAGUGUUUCCAUGUAAAACUUGAUUGCGAGGUGGUAGUUUUGAAGAAGUUAUUAGUCAAAUCUUUGCGUGUUUAUUUUCUAUUGGAAAUUUGGAUGUGUUGCUUAAAACAAAGAAGAAAUAACCAAUGAAAUGGUGUAGAAACUAAAUGUGAAGAAAUCCUAUAGCUACCCAAAACAAGUAAGCAUUUACUAAACUGAAGAUAUGGAAUUAUGAAAAUGAAUGAAUACUGUUUGGAUCAGAGACAGAAGAUGGGUGAUAUUAAUUUAUUUCACUAAUACUAUAUUACCAGUGCUAAUUUAUUUUAUAAAAACUAUAGAAUUGUUGAUGAAUUGUUGGUGAAUUUAACCAUUGUAUUCUUAAAAUCUCCUGUUUACUUCAAAUGUUUGCAUUUCAUUUGUAAUUUGGAAUUGAAUGAUUAAACUAUAUUGUUAAUAACAGUAAGAGUAUUUUUGGCUGUCUUUUAACUUUUUAAACAUAAUGACAUUGGCAAGCAUGAGGUGUUUAUAGCAUUUAAAUUUGGUCUUAAAAUCACUACAACUUCAUUUAUUCUGUGUUAAAGUUAAAAACUUUAAAUAUAAUUUUUCUCCAAAUGAUUUUUAUAAUACAUUUUAGAAUUUUACAAAUUGUAUGUAACAAAAACUGAAGGGACAAAAUAUGUUCAAAUCAUCAUAUUUCUUACAACUCAAAAACUUUCACAGAUAUUAAACAACAUGGUUUUAGGUCAUAGACAAGUCACUCAUCUUCUCUAAAACAUAACCAAGGCUAAUCAUGACUAUUAUUCUCCUGUUAUGAUGAGCUCCUCACUAGUGGACCACUUGCAUCCUAGGAACUAUUGUUGUAAGAAUUCAUCAUUUCAUUCAAGCUUAGAUAAAUAGUGGUUGCUGACUAUCUUAGUACUAACACUAAUAAGUACUUGUCUGAGUUAAAUAAUAAGUUGUUAUAUUUAAGGUUUUUAUUAAAAUAGUCUUUUUAAAUUCAA